AUGCUUGAAAUGAUUCCUGUUUAUAGAUUGGAAAACUUUAGCAUGCGUGUGCUGAGUCACUUCAGCCAUGUCCAGCUCUUUUGUGAUACCAUGGACGGUAGCCCCUCAGGAUCCUCUGCCCAUGGUAUUUUCCAGACAAGAAUAUUGGAGUUGGUUGCCAUGCCCUCCUCCAGGGGUUCUGCCCGACCCACAGAUCGAUUCUAUCUCUUAUGUUUCUUGCAUUGUCAGAUGGGUUCUUUACCACUAGUGCCACCUGGGAAGCCACUGGAAACAUUUUAACUGUGGACAAAAACUGAAAUUUCUGGUAACCAGAGAGAGUUGGGUGGCAGCUGGGAAUAUGGAAGCAGAAACCAAAUGGAAGUUUGAAGUUUCAACCAAAAAAUGAUAUGGAUAGCAAGGACACACUUCACCUUAUUUUAAUUUAGAAGCACUUGAUCUUAAUAAGUCAAUGGGGCAGAAAAGGGAAAAAAAACAUUGGUAUUGUGGCUUGUAUUUUGGCCUUUAGUUUCUGGAGGUAAAAAGGGUAAUUUUUCUAGGUCCUGAGUUUCUCAUCUAUAAUAAGAUAGAUUCAUUGGAAACCUCCAAAUUUCCUUCUAGCUCUCAGAUUCAAUAAUUAUAACACAUAAGUAACUUGUAAUUCUGUUGCUACCAUUUCAAAGCACCUACACUGAUUUCUGUGAGAACCAUAAAUAAGGGAAUAGAAAACAUGUGUUAUAUCUCACUUUUCCAUUACACCUUAAUUUUAUGGUAGGGCCAAGGCUCCAAGAAUAUCUCUAUGAUCUGCUGUGUACAUGCCCAGCCUGUAGGCCAAGAUAAGUCUUGCAAAAUCAACCAUUACGUUUCUAUUACUGCACUGAGUCACUAUAGCUGUGAAGUAUAAUAUCAGAAUCAUGUCAUAAGAUAAUAUUCAGUGUCAAGAUACGAAGGUACUUAGCCUCAUUCAAACCAAAUAUCUAUUAUAAAAAUAAAUAAAUUAAAUUUGGAGUGCUCAAGCUAUCUGGGCUAUUGGUACUAAACCUCCCCAAAUGAUUGCAAUGUUGAACAAUCCUGUUUUCCCCAGUCAUUAGGAACCUGGUCUUUGAAUCUGAAUAUGAGCUGUCUAACCUGCAUUCAGUUUAGUUCAGUUCAGUUGCUCAGUCAUGUCGGACUCUUUGCGACCCCAUGAAUCGCAGCACACCAGGCCUCCCUGUCCAUCCCCAACUCCGGGAAUUCACUCAAACUCAUGUCCAUCAAGUUGGUGAUGCCAUCCAGCCAUCUCAUCCUCUGUCAUCCCCUUCUCCUCCUGCCCCCAAUCCCUCCCAACAUCAGGGUCUUUUCCAAUGAGUCAACUCUUUGCAUGAAGUGGCCAAAGUAUUGAAGUUUCAGCUUCAACAUCAGUCCCUCCAAUGAACACUCAGGACUGAUCUCCUUUAGGAUGGACUGGUUGGAUAUCCUUGCAGUCCAACGGACUCUCAAGAGUCUUCUCUAACACCACGGUUCAAAGGCAUCAAAUCUUCGGUGCUCAGCCUUCUUCACAGUCCAACUCUCACAUCCAUACAUGACCACAGGAAAAACCAUAGCCUUGACUAAACCUUACUCGGCAAAGUAAUGUCUCUGCUUUUGAAUAUGCUAUCUAAGUUGGUCAUAACUUUUCUUCCAAGGAGUAAGC
rnacentral:lncRNA from 1 species